rnacentral:rRNA from 1 species
UACGGAGGGUGCGAGCGUUAAUCGGAAUUACUGGGCGUAAAGCGCACGCAGGCGGUUUGUUAAGCUAGAUGUGAAAGCCCCGGGCUCAACCUGGGAUGGUCAUUUAGAACUGGCAGACUAGAGUCUUGGAGAGGGGAGUGGAAUUCCAGGUGUAGCGGUGAAAUGCGUAGAUAUCUGGAGGAACAUCAGUGGCGAAGGCGACUCCCUGGCCAAAAGACUGACGCUCAUGUGCGAAAAGGUGGGAGCAACAGGAUUAGAUACCCGUAGUC